CCAUAUAACUUGAAUCAAGGGUAACUGGUAAGGUAUAGAAGGAAUCGGGAGUAAGGAGUAAGAACAUGGCUUCCUCGAUGUGCCUCUGCAUUUCUGCUCCUCUCCGUGCUUCACAAACAAUAAAUCAGGAAACAUGCUCGAAGAAAUCAGUUUUGGUCAGCUUAUCAAACCAUACAACCACUAGGGCAGGAAUCAAGCUUCUUGUUCCUGGCUGCUUGAGAAUAAGCAGCAUCACUGUGGAUUGUGGUCAUUGUGGCCUUUUGGUGGCAUCCAGUAGACAUAUUCUUGGAUCUAUUUCUAGUCAUUCAAAUGUUGACUAUAGUACCUACACAGUCAUGUACGGGUACUGGGUGGGACCUGAUGUUGAAGAUGGUUGGGGCUAUGUAGAGGCUUUCGUGGAUCAAAUCAUAUGAUGAUUGAUUUUUUCUUGAAUUAUGUUGCAUGGUUUAUUUUUCCCUUCUUCACCUUGGAAAAGGUUCCAAAUAGGGAUGAUCUUAACUUAACUGCAGUCAAGAUUCAAGAGUGCAGCCAGUGGAUGUUGAUGUUGUGUUACUCUAGGAAAGAAAAUGUUGGGGAAGAACUUGGUUGUAUUGAAAGAGCUGCUGAAGAUCAUCUUUCCUUGGUGAAUCAGCAUAAACUGCCUCUAAAACAGAUGUGGAGUGGAUCAGGAUCCUAAAAGUAAAUUCAUAACGGCAUGCCUCUCUUCUGGUUUCAUCAUGUCUGCAAUGACUUGAAGUCUCCUGCUAUAUCCUUUGCGAAGUCUGCAACGACUUGUUGCCUUCAAAGUUCAUGCUUACAUAAAUUUUUCAGCAGAUACAUGUUUAAGACAGUUAUAUAAAGAAAGCUGAAAUGAAGCCCUUGUAUGUACAUCUAAUGAUUGGUGGUUAUUCUCACCUAUGUAUGUCAGAAGUUUCUCAACAGAUGUCUUGCACAUAACAAACAGAAACAGGAAAAACACAUUUGGUAAGGUUGGUCCUGAAGUUAAAAUGGUUCCAGUUUGGUGGAAGUCGCCUGGUUCAUGUUACAAAGUUC